rnacentral:rRNA from 1 species
GUGGGGAAUAUUGGACAAUGGGCGAAAGCCUGAUCCAGCCAUGCCGCGUGUGUGAAGAAGGUCUUCGGAUUGUAAAGCACUUUAAGUUGGGAGGAAGGGCAGUAAGUUAAUACCUUGCUGUUUUGACGUUACCGACAGAAUAAGCACCGGCUAACUUCGUGCCAGCAGCCGCGGUAAUACGAAGGGUGCAAGCGUUAAUCGGUAUUACUGGGCGUAAAGCGCGCGUAGGUGGUUUUGUAAGUUGGAGGUGAAAUCCCCGGGCUCAACCUGGGAACUGCCUCCAAAACUGCAUGACUAGAGUACGGUAGAGGGUAGUGGAAUUUCCUGUGUAGCGGUGAAAUGCGUAGAUAUAGGAAGGAACACCAGUGGCGAAGGCGACUACCUGGACUGAUACUGACACUGAGGUGCGAAAGCGUGGGGAGCAAACAGGAUUAGAAACCCGGGUAGUCC